GGGGGACACCCUGGUAGGCGUUGUGGUGAUGAUGUCAUUUAUCCCUGUGACGAGUCAGGAUAACCCCACGAUACAUUCAAAGGUGACCAAAUGGUACCACUUUUAAUACGUAUUUUCAAACUAUGAAUAACCGUCAUUCAAUAACGACGUGUUAGGAUUAUUACGGGAAAAGGAAUUAAGAACCGUCAAAAAUGAAAGACUAUCCAAUGGAAUUAAAAAUAGGGAAAAAAAUGGAAAUCUGUUCAUAAAGGACUCAAAUGAAGGACAAUUCCGUACAGUUGAGCUCAAUACGUAUUUUUUUGAUUAAUUACAAGAAACCCCCCCCCAAAAAAAAAAAAAAAAAAAUGCAAUCAAUCCAAUGCGUAAAUCGUUGCUGGCGUUCAAAGUGUCCAGUAAGUGUUUGACCGCAAAAAUGCAUCCAAAGUUCAUCCGAGCGGCCUCGCCGUCAAUAUUUAGCCGCCCCCGCCCCCAAAAAUUUGGCUUCUUCCUGAAGGAUCGAAAAAGUAUUGCCAAAGCUCAAGUUUGGGUGGGGGGGGUUGUGGCGCGCCGUCUCGCUUUCGUUCUCGACUCGGAGUUUAAACUGUAAUGUGGGGGGAGGUGGGGUGGGGGGGGGGGACAUUCACAUUAAAGGUCAGAAAAAAAAAAUAACUUGACAAUUGUCUAAUAAAAUACAAUAAAACAAGGCCUGCAUUGACAGAUUAGGAGGAUUAAAACGUCAUGUUGAACAAAAGCAGCCAAUUUUAAAAAGAAAUAAAAAUUAAAAAACAUUUAAAAGCUAAGAGUUGCAAAAAAAUUACAGUGUUUAAAAUAUCUAAAGUUAUUAUUUCGGGGGGAAAAGCUGAAACAUUUUAUCACCAUUAUUUCAUUUAAAAUUGUGAAAACAUGUUGAAAGAUACCGACUAAAAAAAAAAAUCGUUGAAGGAGGGAAGGUACUAAAUGUUUUUUUUUUAAUGUAAGAAAAUGUUCAAUGAAAGCAAUGCAAAUGUUUGAAAGGUAGAAGAAAAAAAACAUCUCGAAAAUGAAUCAUUGUUGAAGGGAGGCCGCCCUUUUCUGAUAUUUGUGAUGUAAUAUUUGGGAGUACUGUACUGUACUCCCAAAUAUUGCAAAGAUGAAGAUGAAGUAAUUCUUUCCCGGCCAGUUGACUCAAUUUAGAGUAAAAACGUUUCGAUUUUCUCUUUGGCCACUAGGUGGCAACAGCGGUGACUCAAAACCGCUUUUUACAACAUUUUUAAAUUUUUAUUUUUUAUUUUUAAAGGAAAAAUCCUUGUGUGUGUGUGUUUCUGUUUGGUGUUCAGCAGUAUUGCACAAAAAUUAUGUAUUUCCUCUACAUUCGCGGAAUAUUUUUUUCCAUGAAAUCUCAUUCAUGGUUUUUAUCAUCAUCCAUACGUAAUCCUCUCAAAUUUUACUUUUUGUCCAAUUGUGACUUUUAAUGUGAAAUAAUGUGCAUUCGCGUUAGGAAGUGAGACGACGUUUUGCAUCACAAAAACGAGUGUUGAAAUGACCAGAAGAAGAAGAAGAAGAAGGAGGUGGAGGAGGAGGAAGAGAAGAAGAAAAAGAGGAUAUGUGAGGAAAGAGGAAGUGAGAACACCUGGAGGUCAAAGUGUCGCAAGCGGGGUCGGACGCCGCCGCCGAGUUUACGGCAGGACACCGAUGUGAAACCGAUCCGGCUCAGGAACAAAAACGCUGCGCCUGCACGAUGAGCGGAGCGCCUCAAAAAGGUCACCGCGAUCAUUUCCUGGCUACGCUCGAGACGGCUUCCGGCAAAAAGUUCAGCAGUUACGGCGCGCUCACUUGGAAAAUGAAAUAAAACAAAAGAAAAUCCAUCAACAGAGUCACGAGUCGGGCCACUCACGACCGUACGCUGAGGUCCGGGGUUCUGAAUCCGGGGAAACGGAGCGACGGAUGAAAAGAUCGGCGGAUGGACAGACUGGAGGAGACGGAGGGAGCGGGAGAUGGAAAUAAGGGUGGAUGAUAAAUGGAUGGAGGGGACGGAGAGAAGAAGAAUCCAUCCGCGGGGCGACAAAGAGAUGCGAGGAUGGAUGAACGGACGAUACGGAGAGAGACGGACAGACGGCCGGCUAGCCUGCUAGCUAGCGCGAGCGCCGGAGCCUAUCCCGGCUGUCAACGGAGCAGGAGGCGGGGCACACCCUGAACUGGUCGCCAGCCAAUCGCAGGGCACGUGGAGACAAACAGUCACGAGCUCACCUAGGCGCAAUUUCGAGUGUCCAAUUAAUAAUUGCAUGUUUUGGUCCGCGGGAGCCCCACGGAAUUAUGUCGCCUCAAGAUUGACAGUUUGGAUGCUUUUAGAAAUUUGUCAGUGAAAAUGGUGACAUUUUUAAAAAAAUAUUGAAACUUUUUCCCGCUCAUAAUUCAACUGGGUUGGCAGGCCCUGCAUAUAGCAAUAAAUAAAUGAAACAAUACGGUGGAAAAGCAGGGGAAUUAAAACGACAACAAAAAAGUUACAACAUAUCGUAAACACAUUUCAAUUGGAAUGUCGGGAAAAGUGAAACUAGCGAGUUAUUAAUAUUAACAUUUCCACAAAAAUCGGGUGAGGCAAGAAUGUGUUAUGAAGGAAAAUGAAGAUUAACGGUCAAUGAAUCAAAGCCGCUGCGGUUGUUGAGUAAACAAAAACAUGUCAGUGAGCCACAACAAGCUAAGUUAAUACAUAAUUCAUACGACCUCUCGACACGCGGCUGACCUUCCGCCGGGGGUGGCCGAUGUGGCGUCGCCAUGGAGAUGAAGACCCCCGAGGAAGAGUCGGGCGGAAAAGUCCACAAAGGAGCUUUCAGACGCUCUGCAACACAACAAGAACAAAACGGGAUCGUCGGACACGUUUCCGUUCGGGUGGACCGGGCGCGCCGAGCAGGUCGAGGGCUUACGUGUCGCACGUUCGAAUCCUCGCGUGUACGCCGGCACACCGGGCGGGGCGCCUUCUGUUUUCGAAACGCCGAUUUCGACGAACCGCAAGAUGAGUUCUAAAAGGAGGACCUCGCGACCCAAACCAACCGACCGAACGACGUUUAGCUCGCAGUUUAAAAACAAUAUAGAAUAAACCAUCAAAAUAUAGAAAAUAGUAAUUCAGAAAAUAGUGACAAGUGAUGGAAAAUAUGGUUGUGAUAGUAAUUAAAGUAAAACUGAAUCCAACUUUAAAAAAAUGACAACCCGAGCAAUUCACGUAUUAAUAAAGUUAACAGUAAUAAAUGAUUUAUGAUAAAGAAAAAAUAAUGUUGCAUCACGUAUUGUGCAUUCUGCCACCAACUGAAAAAACCUAAAUCAUAAAUACGUAGAAAUGUCAUGAUCGGAAGAAAAAGCUUGUUCAUGGAUUAUUUUACGGUGACUUAAUAAAAAUAAGUUGACAAUUAAUAAAAAAAAAAAGAAAUCAUGGAAAAAUAAAGGCAAAUUAAAAAUUCUACGAUAAAAUAGCCAGAACAUUAAUAAAAUAAUUUUAAGAACAAACUAAUUAAAAUUUAAUUGACAAAAAAAUGAUUAAUUUAAAAUGAGUAACUUGAAAAAUGUAACAUUUUGGGAAAAAACAUGAAAGUAUCACAUAUUGAACAAAGCUCAUUAAUGCAUUAUUUUACUACAAAUUAAUAAAAAUAAGUUUAAUUUGUUUAAAAUCAUAGAACAAUAAAGGCAAAAUUAAAAGUCUACGAUAAAAAAGCUAGAACAUUAAAAAAAUAAUAAUUUUAAGAACAUGCAAAUUGUAAUUAUAGCUUAAUUGGCAAAAAAUUAAAUGUAACAAACUGAAACAAAAAUUGUGAAAGUAUUUUUUUUACCAAAAAUUGAAAAAAACAUUUACUAAAUCAUUGAGAAACUAGAAGAAAAAAAAAAAACAGCAAAACUAACAAAAUCCUAAUAAUUGUCCAUUGCACCAAAAUUGGAUACAAUAAAAAUACUGCUAAAUGAAUUAAUUGGGUGAAACCGCAAAUUGAAAUUUAAAAACAAAAAAAAGGCACACACACAUACUGAGACGCAUUUCUCCAGUUGCAUGAAACUAUUCACAAAGUUUUGUUUAAUGCUGCCAUGUUGUUAAUUUACAUGGAGAAGCUUUACAAAGACAAGCAGAACAUUUGUUUUGUACGACUUUUGAAAUCCGGUGCCGUUAUUCUUACCGCAAUCUCACUUAUUCCCUCCCCCGACCCCCUUUUGCUUAAAUCAAAAUUCUGACUUUACUAAAAUCAUGGCUUAUUAAAGAAAAGAAAGCAGGUAUGCCCCCCACCCCCCCCCUAAAAAUGGGCGGGGUGGGGGGUCUUACACGCCGUAGCAGAGUCAAAAGGACAAUUCAAGCGUCAUUUUGCGAGCACACAAUGGAACGUUUGGGAAAUAAUCAUAAAAGGUGGCUUUCGCUACAUAAAUACAUUUACAACUUUCAAAAAUAUUACACGGACAUAACCAUUCCAAAGUACAAUACGGUAUUAUACAACGGGAGGAGAAACAAAAUAAAGAGACAAUUAUUAUACAUACAUAGCACAAAAUAUAAAUUACCACUUUCUUUUAUUUAAAACCCAUGUACAAUUCUUUUUAUGUACUGUAUCAUACAGGCAGGACGGAGGUUUAGUUGACGUUAGGACGAGGAGUGCAUAGCAAAAAAAAAAAAAAAAUUGAUCAUUUACUGACCGGCUUUAGAAAAAAAAAAAUUUAAAAA